GCGGCUGGGGGCGGGCCCGGUGGCUGCAGAGCCCGCCCUCUGAGAAUGGCUACGUUGGGGGAGGCGAAGGAUCUGGAAGCUGCUGGAAAGCGCUCGAGUGGCGGAGGUGACGUCACUGGGGGUGGGGCGUGAUUAAAACUAGUUCGCGGCCGGCAGCGGAGGGAUUUCGCUGAGGAAAGAGAGUAGCACGUGUUUUGCUGCGGUCUGGCCCGCGAGACCCCGAGUCGGAAGCCGACGCGCCCUUGAGUGACCUGGUGGGCGGGCGAGGGGCGGGCUCCCGGGCCGGCGGAGGGUGCCCGGGAGGCUCUAGGCUGGUGCGUCCACGCGGCACCGCCGUCUCUCCGACUGUGGGCCGCGUGAGGCCUGCAUAGCCGCCGUGCUAAAGCCUCCGUGAGACUCGAGCUGCCCGAGUGCGUGUUCAGAAAGGUCACCACACACGGAGCUGCCCCUCCCUAUCUCCCCAAGCCCCAUCUUCGGGGCCAGGGGCUUUUCUGCCCGGAUUCUGGGAUGUUUCUCCUCCUUCCCUCCCUCCCAGAUCUUCUAACGGUAAGGGCAGAAGCACAGGGACCCUAUCCACGACCGGUUCCAGCCCGUCAGCCUCGGCUCCGUCCCUGCCACGCCGACUCCGGUCUCCUGACUUGUUGUAACGGAGGAGAACGGGAGAACUCUCCUUUGUGAGUUCAGGCGGCUUUCGUAGGAAGGUCAUGUGGUUCCGGGCAGCGUGACCGCGUGUGCUGCUUCCUAGUCUGCAUUCCGAACCUGGGGGGCAGCGCAGUCCUGUGGUUCGAUUGGUUCUAGUCCUAGAAUAACGAUAUGCAGGUGCUGCCCGGUUCUUCGCGGAGCACCCGCGGCAGUGUGGGCUGUGGUUCUCUUCGUGGUCUCGGGCCGAAUGGCCGCCGGAGCUGGUCUUGUGGAGGAACGCUGACCGUGUUGAUAGGGUGGCACAGAGGGACCGAGUCCUGUACACCGAGAAGUUCCAAAGUGAAAAAGCAUUUUAGUUUUUGGUGCUUCUGAAUGCAAAUGGUCAAGAAAUCCAGCAGGAAGUUUGUUUUGCUUUUUCCAGACUGAAAUAUAGGCAGGAUGUCUUCACUGUCGUCUCCAUCUCAUGACCCAGAGACACCUGCUUAUGAAAGAAUAGGAGUCCUGACCAUUCAGGGCCUCUCAAAACAAGUCAAUCUCAUCAAAUGUCCAUGGAGGAUGUUUACCCUGAUUCUGUUGCAAUUUGCCAGGCCACACUUGUCAUUGCCUGUAUGUUCAUGAACAUCAAAAGCACCAGUGACUAGAACUGGAAAAUGGUUGUCAAUUGCUUCAAUAAAGUCCCAGAAGGAAGAGUGAAGCACUCUUUUAACCCCUAGGAACCAAAUGUUUAUUGGAAAGGGAGUCAAGAAAACGAUACCGGCCCUUUUUGAGAAGGAGAAACUAGAGAAUUCACAUAGCUGGACUUCAGGAUUUAUUGUAAUGGGAGGAAUCAAUAUCCUUCAGCCAAAGACUUACAGCCCCCUGUCUGUGUUUUGUAUUUUUUUACGUUAGAGUUUAAUUUCAAAGGCCUUUUGGAAGCAACCUUUGGGCAGACAUUCUGGCAGUUUUUGUGAUAAAUUCAUAUUUGGCAUGCUAUAGUUCACUGUAUCAAACAAGGAAUAACCUUGGCCUAGUUGGGAACUGGUAAAUUCUAAAAAUGUUAGUGUUUGUCUAUAUUUGACCCCUCAGCCCUCCAGUCUGUCUUCCUCUUUUUAAGUUAUAAGAAUGAGGUGUAAUUAGCAUCUAUCAAUCUUAGUGUCCUAACAUUUACUUAUUAUUUAUUAUUCUAUUUUCCUAACUUCUGAUUUGGAGACCCAAUUGUUUUUUUGUUUGCUUGUUUGUUUUAAAUAUAUUUUUAUGAUUUCAGAGAGGAAGGAAGAGGGAGAGCGAGAUAGAAACCUCAAUGAUGAGAGAGAAUCAUUGACUGGCUGCCUCCUGCACGCCCCCUGCUGGGGAUGGAGCCUGCAACCCAGGCAUGUGCCCUUGAUUGGAAUCGAAUCAGGGGCCCUUCAGUCCACAGGCCGACGCUCUAUCCACUGAGCCAAACUUGCCAGGGCGAGACCCAAUUGUUUAUCUUCAAAGAUAGAAGAGGAAGAUUAAAACAAUAAUUUUCAGUAAGUACUCUUUCAGCUAUUAAUUGACUUAUUCAACAUAUUUUAUUUAGUGCCUGCUAUAGGCCAGCCACCCUGCUAGAUAAGAUAGGGUCCCUGCCUACAAGUGGUACAGUAUACAAUAGGAUAGGCAGACACAUAACUGGAUAAUCACAAUUGUGAACACAGUAAUUAAUAUACAGAAUAUUAUGGGAUCACAAAAGAGAGGCACUUCACCUGCCCCAGAUAGGAUCAAGGCAGGCUACAGGAAAGACAUAAACUUUAUUAAUGAAGAUCUAUGAUUCAUUUGCCUAAAUUGGGCAUGGAAGUGUUUGAGCUUUUUGAAUUAGACAAUCCUGUAAAUUGGGAUAAAACAUCCACUAACUCUAAAGUAAAAUAUAUGCCAAAUUUGUAGCUAAUGAUUCAUUUUGAAGAAGGAAAGGAUCUAAUAUAAAUAAGUGACCAUCAAGGCUGUAGGACUAGAGCUAGAAGUUGUUGGGUUUAUUUAAAAGUUUCUUUCCUUUUUAUGUCCCUUCCUGUCUAUAUCAUGGAAAAACAAAUGUGAGAAAUGUGCCUAUAAGUGGAGGUUUUUAUAUUCUUCUUUCUGACACGGCCUCUGUUAAACUUGGAAAUAAAUGAAGGCACCAUCAUUAGAUUGGUUGAAGAUUAGUGCUGUUUGAGGCUAGAAUUUAAAAAAAAUAAAAAGCUUAAUUAGUUUUGCAAUCACUGCCCUCAUGUAAAAUUAAGUAUGAGGAAAAACUCAAUGUUAACUGCAUUUGAGGUUUUCUAAGUCAUGGAUUUGAAAGGGAUCUGCAUAAUAAUUUUAAAUCUUUGAAAAAAAAGUUUAAUCUUUACAACAACCCUGUGAUCACCUCCACUUAAUAGUUGGGAGAACUGAAGCACAAAGGAGUUUUUAAAAACUUGCCUAACUGCUAGUAAGUAGCAGAGCUAGGAUUUGAACCCAGCUCUAUUUAAAUAUAGUUUUCUAUUCACCAUGACAUCCUGCUGAAAUAGAAAGCUGUGUGGGUCCAUUACCUGUGUUCUGUGACUAUAAACUUACCCUAGCAGGAGUAAGCUAUUAUAGACAAUUGUUAAAAGUAUAUGCUUGGGCCAGUGCAAAUCCACACUGCUUCUGAAAAAUAUUGAUAGUGUGCUGUCUUUAAAUAAUAGUCAAAUUUUGAUGUCAUGGGUGUCAUUUAAAGUGUCAGUUGGCAAAUCUCAGAGGGAAAGGGGUGGGGGCUGGAAGAGAUUAACCAAAGAAUUUAUAUGCAUAUAUGCAUAACCCAUGGUCACAGACAAUAGUGUGGUA